CAUUCAUAAGCACUAAAAGAAUAAGCAAAUACACAAAUACUAAUUUAAAUCAGUACUCUGGUUAAAGUUAAAUUACAGCCUCCAAUUCUUCAAAUCUUAAAUUCCUAAAUUAACCCUUCGGAAGAGUCAUAUGAAUGAAUGAAUGAGCACAUAAUUAACUCGUCAAACUGAAACAUUUUAGAUGCUUUUCAUGUUAUGUUUUUUCCUGAAAAUAAACGAAUCAUGUGACUUUUACAUGUAAUUCAUUUAUUUUCAUGUGAUUUUUGCAUACGAUUUGAUUUUGUUCACAUGAAAUGUAUUCACACAAAUCUCCUGUAACCAUUUCAGCUUUGAAGAGGUGUGGGGGGUUGGAGAUAAGCAGAAAUGAAACUCAUCGAUCACAUCUGAUGAAGUGACAUUGAUCGACUUUAUUGAUCCUCUCCAUCUGAGCCGCUGUGGAAAGCUUUGUUCUCUCUUCAGUAAUCCAGGAACUUGGGGAACAAGGCAGAGGACACCCUGGAUGGGGUGGGAUGGAAUGGCACACAAUUGCACACACUCUCACACCCUAUGGACAAUUUAGAGAUGCCAGCCAGCCUACAACAAAUUUCUUUGGACUGGGGGAGGAAACUAGAGAACCCAGAGGAAACCCCUGAAAAUCUGGGAGAAUAUGCAAGCUCCACACACACAGGGCAGAGGCGGGAUUCGAAUCCCCAACCCCAGGGGUAUGAGGCAACUAUGCUAACCACUAAGCCACUGAGCCGCUUAAUUUUAAGCAUCUAUUUAUAGAAGAAGCACAUUUAUCUGCCAGUCGAAUAAGAACAUUAAAGCUAGAUAUGUAUAAAGCAUCUAAAAACAAGAUUAGAAAAACAGCAUUCAAUUUCAGCGCAAACUUUUACACUUAACUCUAACUCUUCUGCAGGCAUUGGAUUUAAUGAUUCUCUUUUUUUAUGUGCAUUCUUCAGUGUGUAAGAGUCUUUGCUAAAUGCUGCAAUGUAACAGAAGUAGUUGUCGAAAAGCUAUUGCGGGUAUAGUUACAGUAAGACACACAUGUUAUUUGUGCUGAUGGGAUCACUAGGAAAAUUCCUCUUAGUGGCGGUUUUUAUAAAAAACUCAGCUACCCGGAAGCUUGAACAUGGAAGUGAUUUGAUAUGUAAAUUCAUCCAAAGUCAUCCAGUGUAUUUAAUAAAGCUAGCUUGGAGCGCAAAUCCCAUACGAGAUGAACCAUUAUCCUUGUAAGCAGCAAACCCAUCAGAAGGGGUAUACCAUGUACUGUAUUAAAAAAAACAAACAAAAAAAACAAUAAAAGAUCUUCAUUUUCCCCUCCGCUCCAUGGUUCAUUGCUUUUUUAUUGUUGUGCAAGGAGCUACAAACGAGCCUCUGUUAUCCUUAUUGCAAUAAUGCUCCACUCUGGCUUAUACAAGGUAGAGAAUCCUGGUCCGCAAAGCAAACAAGCGCUUUGGGAAAACGCUGCACUAAUGGAAGGAGUCUUUUCUUCUUCAGUUAAUGCAGCAUGCCUUUGCUUUUGUUCAAGGUCGAGGAGUGGAGAAUGGGGUCUAGAAAUGUACCCUAAAGAGGCGGUUGGAAAUCUUGACACACAACGUGUGCACACAAAUCGAUUUGGGUCUACAUUGAACAAUAUGUAUUGCUGUUGAAUUUUGGAAUAUGAUUUUUGAUUACAUUUUUCAUAACAGAAGCUCUGACAAUAUUGCUGGUUGCAAGGAAAAUCACAGGUUUAUAUUAUACUACUUCAUGGCUGAAUUGUCCAAUCUGAUUGGGCAGAAAGUGUGCAUUAUUUUUGUAUUACCGCAUGGCUUAGACAGUAAAUCCGGCAAUACGUUUAUAUUAAUGCACUCGCUAAUGUUUCUCAUACAAAGGGGCUUGCAUGGCAGACACCACAUAAUCUAAGAUUAAUAAUAAACAGAUUUUUAAUGUGGUUUAGCAAAGAAAAGCUAUUAUAAUAGUGGAGAAAGCUAUUAUAAUAAUGGAGACAUUUUUUUCUUCGCUAGUACAUAUUUAUUUAACAUUUAUAGAAGGAGUUUCAGGUGUCAGUGCUUUGUAACACCCCUGGUGCUUUGCAACGUUUCCCAGCAAUGGGAAAGUCUUCAAGACAGAGAAGCAUUGUAAUCGUUGGGAAAUCACUGUGGUAUAUGCAGGGUAACACACUUCAGAACUGUUAUAUGCUGUUAUACAGAAAUUAUCAACUUCAAUAAUGCACUUGUUCUAAUAUAUUAUCAAAGGUGUUGUUUCUAUAGUAACACCUUACACGGGGAAUUUUGUGGUGGAUACUCAUCAUUAAACAGAUUAAAAAUGCAUGUAAUUGUUGAUAUGGUCAAAGGUUUGUGGACACAUGACCAUCACACCCAUAUGUGAUUCUUCCUCAAACUGUUGCGACAAAGUUGAAAGCACUCAAUUGUAUAGAAUGUUUUUGUAUGCUGUAGAAUUCCAAUUUUCCAUCACUGGAACUAAGGGGCCCCAAAUAUGUUCCAGCAUGACUAUGCCCCUGUAGAUAAAAUGAGCUCCUUGAAGACAUGCACAGCGUCACAAUUCGCCUACUAUCCGUCCUAAAUAGUAUCCAAGAUUUGAAUUAGUGCGUCCCAAAUCGUAGUAUGUUGAAAUGAGUAUCCCAAAGGUACCUGAAUGGUCUACUAUUUCCUGUAGAUUUUCGAAGUGUGGAUCCAUGGAGACUUUUUCAACUAAUAUUGCCCACAACACCUUGCGCGAGGGAGGAGGAGUUUUGUGAUGGUUUGCUUUGCCAUUUUAGAGAGAGAGGUGUAAAUGAAGAUUUUACAGAGGUGUAAAUGAAAUGUGGAAAAAAAACCAAGGGAAUGGUAAAUUAAAUUAUAUAUUAGAAAUUAUAUAAGGAAUAAUGCAUGGAAAGAAACUGAAAUGCAACGUGGAAUCUGGUUAUGGUGAAAGUGUGUGUAUCUAUGCAACAACGUUCUCUUCCUUUACAUGACAUGUUAGUACGUCCCAUACUCUUUUGCUGCACACGCAACAGUAUGCACUUUUUCUUCACAAAAAGAGUACAUAGUUUUAGUGCAUAGUAUGACUAUGUGAAUUGAGAUGCAACAAUGGUUUGCCAAGGUUGGAGAGGAAGAACUCGAGUGUCCUGCACAGGGCCCUGACCUCAUCCUCAACACCGUUGGGAUGAACUGGAAUGCUGACUGUACCCCAGACCUCCUCACCCAACAUCACUGCCUGACCUAACUAAGGCUCUUGUGGCUGAAUGAUCACAAAUCCCCACAGCCACGCUCCAAAAUGUAGUGGAAAGCCUUCCCAGAAGAGUGGAGGUUAUUAUAACAGCAAAGGGUGAUUGUUUGUCUCUGGAGCUUGGGCUACAGAAAAUGAUAUGUCUGAUCAGACAGAUGGAGUGUGUGAGACAUACAGUGCAUAUGCCUAAACAGACACACAUUAAUGCAAUAUUGCAGCUCAAACAGCCCGCCGUCUAACUGUCUAAAACAGAAAACACACUAUAGUGUAUAAAACACAAGUCUCUAUCAUCCGCCUUACUGUACUGUACUGCCUGCACCGAUUCCCAUCAUUUAGGUCAAAGCAUCUAAUAUUUAAGCGUGCCAUUUUAACACAGACCAAGUUUAGAAUUCUGGCGUGAGACAGUGAGGCAUAACGUUUCCUGUAAAAGGAAGUUCCAUUACAGCUCACUGUAUUUUUACAUUCGAACACUGACUUCAUUUUCACAGGUAUAACAAGAGAUAAGGGGAGAAAUCUAAGCACUUCUUAUAAAUUUCAGCCUGCACUGAACAUUUGCUCAAAUUCUUUCUCUGAACUGUAAAAACACUCGAGCCACAUCAGUGUCACUGAGGUGAAAUUUACAGCAUGAAUUACAAAUGCAAUAGCUAAUGGUGCGGAUUUUAAUAAAAGAAAAGAAGACAUUACAGGCAUUCAUCAUGGAUAGAUAUGUACAUGGGGAAAAACUCUGGUUUUCUUUGUGUGUGCGUGUGUGUGUGUGUGUGUGUGUGCGUGUGUAGCAGUAGGUGUGUCUAACACUCAGCUGACCACACAUCACAGGUUCUGCACUUAUCUAACACUCUGCUGCUGUUGACAUUUUUGACUGGCUUCAUUUAUUAUGUAAAUUGAAAGCUUGCUUUAAAGCCCAGUAGGCCUUAUUCAGCUUUGACACAGGCCUGAUGUAGUGCUUUCCUGAAACACUAUGUUUUAUUUUUGUUGGUGUUUCUUUGCUCCUUUAGAGUGGAACCUUUUUCACCACAGUGAAAAUGAGGCAUUGAGAAAAUGUUAGGUAUUUUACUUUAAAGUAUAUCAUAUUUUUACAACCUAAAGAAGUAAAGAUGUAUUUGGAUCGAUCGAUCUAUCUAUCUAUCUAUCUAUCUAUCUAUCUAUCUAUCAGUCUAUCAGUCUGUGUGUCUAUUUAUUUCUUUAUUUACUGACUGACAUUUUAUUAUUAUUAUAUUAUUUUUAUUUAUUUUACUCCUGCAGAGUGGAAAGUGACAAUGUUAGCGUGAGCCUUUAUGUAAGUAUGCUCUACUUUUACAACCUGGAAAGAUAAUUCUCUAUUUGUGUAAAAUAUUUUUUAAAAGGUAGAGCAUUCCAACCUGCAGUAUAUUUCCACUGCCAGUAUAACAUGACAUAUUUUCCAUGUGGGAAGCAGAUCUGUAAAAUCUUAGCGCUAAAUAAUUAGAAUACAACUGUGAAUAAAAGAAAAAGAAAAAAAUAUUGAUGUUGCGAAUAGGCAUUUCCCUGUGGGAAUAUGGUAGGGUUGGAAUAUGAUGUGGUGGGGGGUGCAAGCAAACGUCCUCUCCCCAGUUUAAAAAAAAAUGGACAAAAAUCAAAAUGUUAAUGAUGUAAUUAUUUUAAUUAAAAAAAUUUAAAUCAAAUUUUGAAAUGAAAUUGGAUUCGAGGUAUCACGCAUUAUUUGUAACAGAGUAAAACACACAUGCACCUACUAAGGAAGUGGCCAUGUUAAAAUUCAGGGUUUUAUUGGUGAGGCAGUGGACUAUAUUGAGCAAUUUUGUCGAUCAAAUAAAAUGUAUAAAAAAAAUUUUAAGAGAGAAAAAGCUCAUUUGAAUACUUCUAUGCUCACUUGCAAAUUUGUCAAAUUCACACCACUUGUUAAUCUAAAAUUAUAUGAAGGUUAACGCUAAGGUUAAGGUUAGGGUUAGGGUUGUAGGCAGAGUUAGUGUUUCAACCACUCUUGUUUGUUCAAAUUUGUAUAAAGGUCUUAUGAGAUCAGGUUGGUUAAAGACGUACUUACAAAAGCAGUUAAACUGAGGUUAAAAUUUGGGAAGGUUUUUUUAAAUUAUGCAAUAUUUAAUUAUGUUCAACCAUACAUCAGGCUUGCUAACUAGCAAACUAAUUGUCAGUAAGGCCAUUUCAGGUGAAAUGGGCAAGAUAAUUUUCAAGCGUCCUCUUUGAAUUUUGCAACAGUAUUCGAUAGCAAAUGAUUUGAUGGUCUGUAUUGUGGCAUUGCUACAAACCCCCCCAAUUUAGGCUCCUGCAAAUUCCUAGCCAGUGCUCAGUUACCAAAUAGGGAGGGUGAAGGCAGGUGCUUUCUCUAGGACAUAUGAAGCCAACCAAUAGCUAUUGAUGGGAAGAUUGGAGCAUUUUACUGACUUGGAUCUUUGAGUCUUGUUCAGCAAAUAAACAAAUCUUUAUUCGUCAUUUCCUUCAUUUCAUUCAUUUGAGCACAAUUAAAUUAAAUUUUUACAUUUUCAAUAGCCAAAUUCCCCCAACACGUCUACUUACACAAGCUUUGAUCAUAUUCCAAAUAAAGAAAAAAGGGACCAAGGACAAAUUAUGAGAAACAGAAAUGAUUCAUUCACCAAUCAACUGGGUCUUCUGGUCCGAGACGUUCGUUCUUUUGUCACUUGACAGCCGCAUAGGCUGAGGCUCUACGGACAGAUCCUUUGUGGUUUUUACGUUACAAAUGAGCGGAAGGAUGCUGCACAUUCACGGCCAACACAAAUUGACCGAAUCGCUCUCUGAAACAACUCAUUAUUCCCGAAUCAUAUAAAAGAUUCGUUCAAAAUCAUUCAUGAACGAUCAAUCGCUACCAACAGCAUCUUUUCAAACUGCUACUCAUACUGCAGGAAAGUGCUGUCAACCCUCUUCUACAUACAUAAGUUCACAGAUGCUCACAAUUGGCUGGUGUCACUGUGAUUGAAAGUGAGAGAGUAGGCUAUCCUUUCCACCACUUUGCUCCCAGCCACAGAUGGCUGUGGCAUUGUUGGGAUUUGAACCCAUGAUUCUCUGGAUGAUAGGGUUAACACACUACUUUUGCACCACUCAAAAACCUGUAUGGCAUUGCUUUUUUUGGAGACUGGUGAAGAAAUCUACCAAAAAAAAAAAAGAGGCCCAAUUUACUCAACUUCACCCAAUGCACAUUUACAUUUCUACAGGGUGUCCCAAAAGUCUCCAUACAUUAUCAGGGGAAAUAAACACUUUUUAGCUAAGUGUCUUCCCAAUUUUUUCAUACUUAGUUUACAUAAUUUUUUUUCAGAUAGUCUUUAAGAAUGAAGAUGAAGGUAUUGAAACCUUUUGCAUGGCUGGAUCAGGAGCCAUGCUGUCGCAAGGUUGCGAGGAAAAAUGGCAAGCACAUCACACACGACACUGUUGCCAAACUUGUUAACAAAUUCAAAAACACUGGAAGUGUUGCGGACCGCCCAAGAAGCGGACGUCCACUGACGGAAGCACAACCGACGUGGUGCUGGAAUACAUAGUCUCCUAUGUAUGGAGACUUUUGGGAUGCCCUGUAGAAUCCCUCAGGGUUAGACUGUGGGUCUACCACCAUUUAACCCAUUAUCAUCCUUACAAGUAUUUUACAAUCCAACCGAUAGGAAUAUGUGCGUAUGUAUAUGCAAUCUAUAGGCCUGUACAUGCACAUGCAUAAUGUCUGUGUUGCUCACAUUGCAUCAUUUAAUCAAUCCAGCCAGGCGCACAUUAACUCCGGGGUUAACAACACGUUUUUCAAGCAUGACCUCUGUAGUGCCGCUUCCCACAAAGUAGAUGAAUGGAUGGAUGGAAUUUCUCCACCUUUUACCACUGAUCCUGGAUCAGCAUCUCUUGCUUUGGUGCGUUACAUGAGCGUGGACAAAACGCUGAUCCCUGAUCAGUGCGGAACAGAGAUGUUUUGAGCAGCAGGGGAUCGCGACCGACGCAGACUGACAUAUGUUCAACACUUCCGAUAAAUACGGAAGGAUACACAGAGCUCCCAGCUGAGUGAGCUGACGCCAUGCUGCAGAUUAACACACACUCUGAUUUACUGCGAGAUAAAUGAUUCAUUUGUGAGUGGAAUGUUUGAUUCUGGAGCUGAUCUCGGAUCAGGCUUUAUGUGGUUUGGUGUAGGGGGAAGAAAUGAGAAUGAGACGUGCAUACACAAGCCCACUGCACUACAGGAGAUGAUGUAUAGUGUAAAGAGAGAGGGUUGUUAUAUUGUUAACAAACCUACGUCAAAGGCUAAUGCAUUUAUUCUGAAAUGGCAUGUCAUUGUGCGGUGGAACUACAACCACAUCAUCUAACACACACACGCAUUCACACACACGCACACCCACACAUACAGCGUCAAGUGCCAUUAUGAAAAGGCAUGCACCCUUGCUCUAGUCUUUAUUGCUCUUGGUUACAUAAGAUGCCUCCUUAUCUCCAUUCAUCCCUCCGUCUUUUAAUAUAUCUUUAUUUUCCUCAGUGCAUUCCAGAGAGAAAAGGAGGAAAAAGGUGGGGGGAAAUAAAAUACAUCUGCAUCCUUUCUUUUUUUUCCCCUCUAUGUGCCACCUUGAAAACAACACCCUCAUCUUUCAGAAGAGCGGAAGUGAUUUAGCGGCAUCUCUCCAUUUCUUAUUGUUUCUGCAUGUCAUGUGCACUGCCUUCCCCAGUUUUUACAUUUUACACCUCCUUCACAUUCAUCCCUCCAUCCCUUGUUCCAUCUGCAGGAUUUGACUUUGUGCAAGCACAAAAAGAGAGGAAUAUCCAUCUUACCUUUGUGGGACUGCUUCUGUUUCUAUCAUUCUCUCUCUCUCUCUUUCUCUCUCCCUCUCUCUGUCUUCACCUGCUCCACGUCCUCAGGUCCUGCAGCUUUGCAGUCCUCACGGCAAGGUCUGCAGUGGCUCCGUGUCAAUGUCAUAAAAGUGCUGUGU
ensembl:lncRNA